rnacentral:rRNA from 1 species
AUUGAACGCUGGCGGCAGGCUUAACACAUGCAAGUCGAGCGGGAAUAGGUAGCUUGCUACUGAAUUCUAGCGGCGGACGGGUGAGUAAAGCUUAGGAAUCUGCCAUUUAGUGGGGGACAACAUUCCGAAAGGGAUGCUAAUACCGCAUACGUCCUACGGGAGAAAGCAGGGGAUCACUUGUGACCUUGCGCUAAAUGAUGAGCCUAAGUCGGAUUAGCUAGUUGGUGGGGUAAAGGCCUACCAAGGCGACGAUCUGUAGCGGGUCUGAGAGGAUGAUCCGCCACACUGGGACAGAGACACGGCCCAGACUCCUACGGGAGGCAGCAGUGGGGAAUAUUGGACAAUGGGGGGAACCCUGAUCCAGCCAUGCCGCGUGUGUGAAGAAGGCCUUUUGGUUGUAAAGCACUUUAAGCGAGGAGGAGGCUACCUGGAUUAAUACUCUAGGAUAGUGGACGUUACUCGCAGAAUAAGCACCGGCUAACUCUGUGCCAGCCGCGGUAAAAC